rnacentral:lncRNA from 1 species
AUAACAUGGAUUUGGAGAUCCGAGCAAAAGAGAAGAAGCUGACACUAGUUAUCUGACCUCAACAUCGAACGACACCAACACCUCAACAUCGAUCGACGGUACGACCUCAACGUCGACCGACGACAAGACCUCAACAUCGAUCGAUAUUACCACUUCAUCGUCGAUCGACAGUGGGCACAUAUUAGAGCGGAAGGAGUUCGAUGUAUGUGAAAAUCUAAGGGAUGGAGAUACCACUACGCGAUCAGACAAGUCUGGGGGAAGAAGAGGAAGAAUUGGAAGAAGA